GACAGAGGGUGCAAACGUUGUUCGGAAUUACUGGGCAUAAAGCGCACGUAGGUGGUCCGCUAAGUCGCGUGUGAAAUCCCCCGGCUCAACCGGGGAAAUGCGCGUGAUACUGGCGGGCUUGAGAUCGGGAGGGGUGAAUGGAACUCCAGGUGGAGCGGUGAAAUGCGUAGAUAUCUGGAGGAACACCGGCGGCGAAAGCGGUUCACUGGCCCGACACUGACACUGAGGUGCGAAAGCUAGGGUAGCAAACGGG
rnacentral:rRNA from 1 species